AGCUAAUUUAUGAUGAAAUGUCUGUGUGCCUAGGUGUGUCUUAAUUGUGUGUUUAUAUUGUUGUUUGUAAAGGCCCUUCUAGGGACGAGCACUGCAAAUUAGUCACGGCUAUAAGUGCUGUAGUAUCUCUCAUGUAAAAUGUACAGUAUAUACUUGUCCCUAUCAAAAAAUAAAUAAAUAAAAUUUGCUUUGCAACUGCAGCCCAAUAGGGGAUUGUAACCACUUCUGCUCGGGUUUACUUUAUAACAAACACUUUUUCUUUAAGGAAGUCCAUUUGAAGGAAUCUCUUUCACUACCUAAUUGGUUCCACCUGAACUCAUAACAAGCUGAUGGGCAAGUAUGCUAUUUGUCCUUGCAAAUGUGUGAUUUUUGGUUAGGUAUUUUUGGACCAGCACACACACACAACAAAAUACUAAAAUCCUCUACAAAGUCAGGAUGCGUGAAUUGACAGCUGGCAAAUGACACAUGCUGUGAGUGCAAUUCACGCUGGCUGAGUGCAGAGACUGGAUUUUUUCAGUGCGUGCACACGGUAAACCCGACGAGGAAUACACCUCCAAAUGUACAAAGGAGCAGACGGG